rnacentral:RNase_P_RNA from 1 species
AAAUGGCCGCGGCUGCAGGACCGAAAGGCUGCAGGUGAGGAAAGUCCGGGCUUCACAGGGCAGGAUGCCAGAUAACGUCUGGUGGAGGCGACUCCAAGGACAGUGCAACAGAAAUAUACCGCUGGACAGGCACUUUGUGCCGGUUCCAGUAAGGGUGGAAGGGCAGUGUAAGAGACUACCGCCCGGCUGGUAACAGCCGGGGCACAUGUAAACCCCAUCCGAAGCAAGACCGAACAGGAGGCGUAAGGCGGCCCGUCUGCCUCCGGGUAGGUCGCUUGAAUUUACCGGCGACGGUAAAGCUAGAUAGAUGGCCAUUCAACGACAUAACCCGGCUUAUCGUCUUGCUCA